rnacentral:rRNA from 1 species
UGGGGAAUUUUGGACAAUGGGCGAAAGCCUGAUCCAGCAAUGCCGCGUGCGGGAAGAAGGCCUUCGGGUUGUAAACCGCUUUUGUUAGAGAUGAAAAGCAGGCUUCUAAUAUAAAUCUGUUAUGACAGUAUCUAAAGAAUAAGCACCGGCUAACUACGUGCCAGCAGCCGCGGUAAUACGUAGGGUGCGAGCGUUAAUCAGAAUUACUGGGCGUAAAGGGUUCGCAGGCUGCUUUGUAAGAUGAGUGUGAAAUUCUUGGGCUUAACCUAAGAACUGCAUUCAUGACUGCAUCGCUAGAGUACAGCAGAGGAAGAUGGAAUUCCGCGUGUAGCAGUGAAAUGCGUAGAUAUGCGGAGGAACACCGAUGGCGAAGGCACUCUUCUGGGCUUGUACUGACGCUGAGGAACGAAAGCGUGGGGAGCAAACAGG